GGCCCGCACAAGCGGUGGAGUAUGUGGUUUAAUUCGACGCAACGCGCAGAACCUUACCCAGGCUUGACAUCCUCGGAACCUGAUGGAAACAUCGGGGUGUCCCCUCACGGGGAAGCCGAGUGACAGGUGCUGCAUGGCUGUCGUCAGCUCGUGUCGUGAGAUGUUCGGUUAAGUCCGGCAACGAGCGCAACCCCUGUCGUUAGUUGCCAUCAAUUCGGUUGGGCACUCUAGCGAGACUCCCGGUGUUAAGCCGGCGGAAGAUGGGGAUGACGUCAAGUCCUCAUGGCCCUUAUGUCUGGGGCUACACACGUACUACAAUGGCAUUUACAGAGGGCAGCAAUACGGCAACGUGGAGCCAAUCCCAAAAAGAAUGCCUCAGUUCGGAUUGGAGUCUGCAACUCGACUCCAUGAAGUUGGAAUCGCUAGUAAUCG
rnacentral:rRNA from 1 species